AAUCCUAAGGUGCGCGGGAGAACCCUCGUUAAGGAACUCGGCAAAAUGUACCCGUAACUUCGGGAUAAGGGUAGCCGCUGUUGUGAAGUCUGAACAGACGGAGCAUGAGGCGGUCGCAGAGAAGAGGCCCAAGCGACUGUUUACCACAAACACAGGUGCCUGCUAAAGAGAAAUCUGACGUAUAGGUGCUGACACCUGCCCAGUGCCGGAAGGUUAAGGAAGGAUGUCCGGAGCAAUCCAAAGCAUUCGACCGAAGCCCCGGUGAACGGCGGCCGUAACUAUAACGGUCCUAAGGUAGCGAAAUUCCUUGUCGGGUAAGUUCCGACCCGCACGAAAGGUGUAACGAUUUGGGCACUGUCUCAACGAGGGACCCGGUGAAAUUGAAGUACCUGUGAAGAUGCAGGAUACCCGCGACUGGACAGAAAGACCCCAUGGAGCUUUACUGUAACCUGACAUUGGGUUCUGAUACAUCACGUACAGGAUAGGUGGGAGGCAUGGAAGCGAGGACGCUAGUCUUCGUGGAGCCGCCGUUGGGAUACCACCCUUGAUGUAUCGGAAUUCUAACCGUAGGAGUAACGAAACUCGGGACAGUGUCAGGCGGGCAGUUUGACUGGGGCGGUCGCCUCCCAAAGAGUAACGGAGGCGCCCAAAGGUUCCCUCAGCGCGGCCGGAAAUCGCGCGAAGAGUGUAAAGGCAGAAGGGAGCUUGACUGAGAGCCAAACACGGCAAUCAGGUACGAAAGCAGGGCUUAGUGAUCCGGUGGCAUCCAAGUGGAAGGGCCAUCGCUCAACGGAUAAAAGCUACCCUGGGGAUAACAGGCUAAUCUCUCCCAAGAGUCCAUAUCGACGGGGAGGUUUGGCACCUCGAUGUCGGCUCAUCACAUCCUGGGGCUGAAGUCGGUCCCAAGGGUUGGGCUGUUCGCCCAUUAAAGUGGUACGUGAGCUGGGUUCAGAACGUCGUGAGACAGUUCGGUCCCUAUCCAUCGCGGGCGCUAGAGAUUUGAAGGGGGCUGCUCCUAGUACGAGAGGACCGGAGUGGACGAACCAAUGGUGUACCAAUUAUCUCGCCAGAGGUAUAGUUGGGUAGCUACGUUCGGAAAGGAUAAACGCUGAAAGCAUCUAAGCGUGAAACCAGCCUUAAGAUGAGAUCUCUCAUAGAGCAAUCUAGUAAGACACCUUGGAGAAGACGAGGUUGAUAGGUCGGGAGUGUAAGUACAGUAAUGUAUUCAGCGGACCGAUACUAAUAUGUCGAGGGCUUGAUU
rnacentral:rRNA from 1 species